UACGAAGGGGGCUAGCGUUGCUCGGAAUCACUGGGCGUAAAGGGUGCGUAGGCGGGUUAUUAAGUCAGAGGUGAAAUCCUGGAGCUCAACUCCAGAACUGCCUUUGAUACUGAUAGUCUUGAGUAUGGGAGAGGUGAGUGGAACUGCGAGUGUAGAGGUGAAAUUCGUAGAUAUUCGCAAGAACACCAGUGGCGAAGGCGGCUGACUGGUCCGGUUCUGACGCUGAGGCGCGAAAAGCGUGGGGAGCAAACAGG
rnacentral:rRNA from 1 species